AAGGUGCUCGUAAGAGAACCGGAACACAGGUGCUGCAUGGCUGUCGUCAGCUCGUGUCGUGAGAUGUUGGGUUAAGUCCCGCAACGAGCGCAACCCUUGUCAUUAGUUGCUACGAAAGGGCACUCUAAUGAGACUGCCGGUGACAAACCGGAGGAAGGUGGGGAUGACGUCAAGUCCUCAUGGCCCUUAUGGGUAGGGCUUCACACGUCAUACAAUGGUCGGGACAGAGGGUCGCCAACCCGCGAGGGGGAGCCAAUCCCAGAAACCCGAUCGUAGUCCGGAUUGCAGGCUGCAACUCGCCUGCAUGAAGUCGGAAUCGCUAGUAAUCGCGGAUCAGAAUGUCGCGGUGAAU
rnacentral:rRNA from 1 species